UAGGGAAUAUUGCACAAUGGAGGAAACUCUGAUGCAGCGACGCCGCGUGAGUGAUGAAGGACUUCGGUUCGUAAAGCUCUGUCGUAUGGGAAUAACAAAAUGAAGGUACCAUGCAAGAAAGGAUCGGCUAACUUCGUGCCAGCAGCCGCGGUAAGACGAGGGAUCCUAGCGUUGUUCGGAAUCAUUGGGCGUAAAGAGGACGUAGGUGGCUUUGUAAGUCAGGUGUGAAAGCCCAGGGCUCAACCCUGGAAGUGCAUUUGAUACUGCGAAGCUUGAGUGCUAGAGAGGUAAGUAGAAUACCUGGUGUAGUGGUGAAAUACGUAGAUAUCAGGUGGAAUACCGGAGGCGAAGGCGGCUUACUGGCUAGACACUGACACUGAGGUCCGAAAGUGUGGGGAUC
rnacentral:rRNA from 1 species